rnacentral:lncRNA from 1 species
AUUGACGUGACAAUCAAUGUGGCUUGACCUUUUUUCAUCUUUGACCAUAUUUUCUUUUAUAUUUUUAUUUUUUUACUUCAAACUUGGGGAAAGUUUUACCCCAUACACUCUACCCACACCCCACUUAUAUUUUUACACUAUAAAACAGAAGCCCCCCCUCCCACUUCAAAUUUUUAUCCCUAGCCUGACCCUAAAUUUUAAUCUCUCAUAUCUUUCAUUCUAGAGAGCACUAGCUGCUAGCCCUCUUAUCUCUCUCCCUUGGGCGAUCUACGCCCACCACUGUCGCCACCGGAUUUCAUUCAAUGGCUGGCCGUCCAUGACUACACCUAACUGUAGCUCCUCUCUCCUUCCCUUUCUCCCAUGGCAGCCUUAAGCUCUCUCUCUUUCUCCCUCCAUUUCUGGCCACCACCUGGCGAUACCGCCGGAGGUGAUGACCGGCCAGGUGGUGACACUCACUGAGUCAUGCUGCUCUCUAGCCUCCCUCUCAAACGCCGAAGACUCGAUGAGGCAAUCCAACAAAGUUUUAGAUCUAACCAAAGGUCACAGAUCUGGCCAGAUUUUUGGAUUUUUCCGAUGACUUCCGCCAUUACAAUCAUCUCCUCCUAUUCUUUGUUAUUUUUCUUUUGUUACAGGUUAAUAGAUCCGUUAAUAGUGGAGUUAAAACGCCAGAGUUUGUCACUAUUUUCGUCCCUACUACUGUUGUUACUUUGUUCGUCUGUUGACCAUAUUUUUCGGCGACCCUCCAUUAAAUCUGGCGACUCUCUUUCUUCUCGUCCUUUUUACUAUUUUUUGGGCUUUUAAUAUUACGAAAAGACAGAUCUAAAAAUAGUUUGAUUGCUGACCAGAUUUUGGCCGGAAAAUAUUUUCCGGCGACGCUUCUAUUUGACUGUUAUGAUGCCUUAUUUCUGCUAUUUGGUUGGAUCGUUCUUGAUAAUGUUGGCCCGUAUUUGUACCUAAUGGUUUAUAUGUUUGAGUCAGCUGUGUUUCGUCUGAUGCUUUGCGCUCUUGGUUUGGAAAUGUUUGGUUAUUGUUGAAUUCUUACUGCUUUAGCUUUGAAAUUUUCGAACACUUAUGUGUUAGCUUGGCACUGUUUUGAUACUGAUUCACUCACUUUUUUGUGUUGGACAUGUACUGGUGUUGAUGCAAUACUACACAGUUGGAUGGUUUUGACUGUGGACGAAUGUUACACUAGUUUUGGAUAUACUAUACCGAACAAGGCCGAUGAGAAUAAAUUUUUGAGGCCACGACGCCCUGAAUGACCCUCCGGACUGGACCCUACAAUAACGAGGCAAUGAUGAUAAACAUUAAAAAAGAAAAAGACAGAGAACGCGAACCAACAACCUACGGAGGGCGACACGGUUGGCCACCGGAGUCGCAAACCAAGGCGGUUCUCGUUCUCAUAUCUAGACGGAUAUUAAAAAUACAUAUAUGAGUCUCCUAUAUUAUUUUAAAAUAUUUUUCAAAAAUAAUUUUCCAAAAACAUUUUCAAACUAUUUUCAAAAACAAUCUAUCAAAAACAUUUUCAAAUAAAAUCAUUUUAGAAUAAAUUAGUUUAUUGUUUACUUUAUAUUUUACUAAUAAUUUCAUUUCUCUUAUCUUGCGAGGUGUUAUCACACGAAGUUGCUUUCAAAGAAUGACACUCGAAGACGAAAAGACAAAUCCUCGUCAAGCUUCCCGCUUUGUAACUUUCCUUCUUAGAUGCAAAAAAUGCAAGUAUAGUGAAAUCGUAGAUAGAUAUCGUAUUUGCUAGCUUGCUUGAUAUUUGCAUAUUUGCCAACACUUAGGAUGAGCCGUAUCUACUUAAGAAUCUGGUUAACUUACGAAGCUGUGCAUUAUAUAACUCGUUAUGCUUAUAUACACAUAUUUAGGAUAUCGAGUAUAUUUCGUAACUUAUUUGGUUAAUUGGGAUAGAUAUGCAUAUAAUUAAUUGAAUUAGAUACAUAAAUAAUAAAAAUAAAAAGUAUUGCAUCUUUUUUUCAAAACAAAUAACCUUACUUGUUUUUUUAUAAUUAUACUAUGAUACUUUUUAAACCAAUCUACUUGUAUAUUAUUCCUUAAUAAUUACACUCCAAUUAGACAUAACUUGCAAAAUAUCAUAGUUGAAUUGUCACAUUUUGAAUUUUUUAGACCUUACUCAUUUGGGCUUGUCCCAAACAAUUGGUAUCUCAAAAUAGUCCUUUGCUAUUCAUUAUAUUAUGUCUAGUUUUAUUUACAAAUGUUUCUCUUAUAUAUUUGUAUAUUUUAUAGCAUAUCCAUUCUUUGCUCACUAAAACAAUUCUUUCACUCUGCUCAUUAUAUAUUGAGAUAAUUCUUUCUACACUCUUUGGUCAAGUUACUUGUUAAAUAUCUACUCAUGUGCAAAUAAAUAAUCUUUCUCUUUUUUUUUCCUCAAUCCUUUAGUAUAAGUUUCUCCUUGUUAUAGUCAUCCAUCUAAACUUUUAAACCCUAAUUAUGAGUCGUCUCUCAUUAAGUUUAUUCUCGUAAGUUUAAGAAUUUGUUCAAACACUUUGAGUUAACUUGCAUUCUUUAAAUGCAAUUGUUUUUUAUAUUAUUCAAUUUACACUAAACUAUCAUUCUUUAAUAUCCAUUUUUAUUCUUUCAUAUACAAUAUUUUGUUGCACAUAUAGUUUAUCAAAUAUUUUGUUAUUCUUAUCCAGAACUCACUUUGUACUCAGCUUAUCUUUUGGAAUACGAUUCCCUCGUCCACUUUAUAUAUAUUUUAUACUAGUCAAUAUAGUUUAACUAUUUCAUUUUAAAACACCAAAAAAUACUUGCAUACUUCAUCCGCACAUAUUUCAUUAUCUAUUUAAUAUUAUUACUGUUUAUUCUAGUACAUGUUAACCAUUCUUUUAUUCUUUGUAAUAGUUGUGAGUAUUUGCUAAUUAUCUUUGAACAUUCCCUCCUUUAUUUGAUCGAGUCCACCGGAACCCCAUUUUGUGGAUCUCGAGGGAUGCCUAACACUUUUCUCUCGAGAUAACUUGAACCCUUACUUAGAAUCUCAACGGUUUCGCAGACCACAAUUUAGCGUAUAUUAUGUAAUGUAAUAUAGGUGUCAUAGUAUACCUUAAUUACUAGGUGGCAACUCUAAACUCCAAUUAACCUUGUAGAGUACUAUAAGUUGUAUAUUAUUUUGACUUGUGCAAAAUAUGGUGCAACACUUAGCAGGAGGUGUAGAGGAGAAAUAGAGGAUUCGACUGAGGUUGGUUUGAGGGAAUUUGGUUAACUCCGGCCGGUGGAAGCAAUUUUUGGUCGGUGAUCAACAGUGGUUUGAGGGUGGCGGGUGGUGGAAGCAAUUUCCAACCACCGAGGACAAGAAAGAGAGAAGAGAGAAAGUGCCUGUAAGAUCUGAUUUUUAAGUUUGGGUCCUUUUUUAAAAGGAAUCUUUAGAUGAAACGAUGUCGUUUCAUUUUGCCACUACUUCGUUUGUAGGGGUUAGGAGAUAGGGUCAGACCAUAUCUUAGAAUUAGACUGAUAGAGGUUUUCUUUGCAAAGACUGGGCCAAAAGAGGCAGGCCUAGUUCAAUUUCAGUGACUAACAACCCCAUUCCCUUUCCCCUUUAAUGUUUACAAUUAAUCACUUUUAACUUGAUUUUUCAAUUAACCUUAUUUUACACAUUUAGCCCAUUUUCCUCAAUUACCUAAAUAAUUUGCUAUCAAGUCAUCAUUAAACUAAUUAUUUAUCUAAUUAUGCAAUUAAAAUCUAAACAUGCAAUAAUAAAAGAUAAAAAUGUAUUUUUUGUGGUUUUAAUGGUUUAAAUUGCAAUUAAUUACGCCCUUAAAAAUGCAAAAAUGUAAUUUUAUGUGAGAAUGUAAUUAAAAUGCAAAAAAGUAAAUAAAAAUUCCUAAAAAUCCUAUAAAAAUUAGAAACAUCUGAAUUGUUAAUUUAAAGUCAUUGCAGGAGCAAAUUUUAAGUAGGGCAAAAAUUAUGUGCUUACAGCUGCCCUUCUUUACUCGAGACCAUAAAGAGUUUUCGAGCAAAGAAAGAAUGAGCAUUGUGAUUAAACUUUUCCUGUUUAGAACUCCACGAGAAGUUGUUUAAAAAAUUUUAUCGAACCUUGCUUCCGAUAUUACCUACAUAUCCUUGGCUAUAAAGAAAUCAGGUCAGUGUAGUUUUGAAAGUUUUGGUAGCUAAGACUAUCGAAGAGUUGUGAGUUACUAUUGUUGCUAUUUUGCUUAUCUCCUUAUUACACCAAAAACAAGAUCAAAAGCAACUAGAUAUGCCUAUCAACUAGGUGCUAUAAGAUUUCUAUCUAUAAGUCUUCGGAAGUCUUGUCUUGACUUGUUCUUCGUGUGACCUAGACUUGAGUCUUGAUGCUCUUUAGUUGUAGGUGUUGGAUCACUCCCGUGUGCUUAUUUCUUGAUCAGGAUGGAAGAUAUGACUCUUGUGACACUGGUCAUUCUUAGUGUGACUUGUGCCAUAUUCCAUUUGUUUAUUGUGAUUUGAACAUGUUUCUUUUUUUUAUCAGGACCUAGAGCUUUUCUUUUCGUUGAUCACCUAAUCUUUGUGCUCCAAGGAAAACUCUAUAAAGACCCCAAAGAUGAACAAACAAACAAAAUCUUCUCUCCCAAUUUCACUAGGAAACAUUUUAUGAGUUAUUGUAACAGAAUCAUAAACAAUUCUUUUUAUAGAAAGCAAGAAAUUUUUGUAGGGAAUGAUGUACCCCGUGGAAUCAUGAUUUUAGGGAACGAUGUACCCUUUUUGAAAUGGGACCUUAACUAGGGAUUGUUGUACCCUAUAACAAAAAAUACAGCUAGGGAUUGGUGUAUCCCAUGCUAAUACAUGACUAGGGAAUGGUGUACCAUUAUAUUAAAAUAAUACCUCAAUUAACGAUUAGUGUACCUUAUAUGGGAAAAUGCAGCUUGGGAGUGAGAUACUCUAUGCUAACAUGAGACUAAGGAGUGGGUAUCCUUUUGUUAGAAUAUCUUAAAAAAGGUAAUGAUGUACCCUAUGUUAGAAAUAUAACUAGGGAUUGAUGUACCCUACGCUAAUAUGUGACUACAGAGUGGUGUACUCUUUUGUCAGAAUAUCUUCAACUAGGGAAUGGUGUACCCUAUGUUGGAAAAUACAGCUAGGGAGUGGUGUACUAUAUGCUAACAUGAGACAAGGAAGUGGUGUACCUGUAACGACCCGACCGAUAGUUUUGCCUUUUAGAACCCCUUUCUUCUAAAUAAGACUCUUCGUAUGUGCUUUUACUGUUUCAUAACUUGCAAGAAUGGUUAGUUCGAGUUUGGAAGGAUUCAGAUUGAAAUCGGAACAAUUAGCUGGUUAGCAUUGGCUUUAAAUGGUUAAGUUUGACUUGGGUCAACAUUUCUAGUAAACGACCUCGGAAUUGGAAUUUGACUGUCCUAAUAGGUUCGUAUGAUAAUUUUUGACUUGGGCAUAUAUUCGUAUCGGGUUUUGGAUGACCCAGGGGCGUUUCAAUGCAUAAAGUUGAAAGUGGGCGCAUUGAAGUUUUUAAAGUUCUUUAAAUUUGGUUUGGAGUAGAUUUUGGUGUUAUCGAGGUUUGUUUGGGAUUCCGAGCCUAGGAAUAGUUCUGUAUGGUGAUUUAAGACUUGCACGCAAAAUUUGGUGUCAUUCCGAGUAGUUUAAGUAUGAUUCAGCGCGUUCGGAGCGAAUUAGAAGAACUUGAAGUCCAUAAGUUGAUUUGAUUUUAAUUUGGAGUCUGAUUCUUAGUUUUGGUGUUGUUUUCCGUAUUUUGUGAGGUCGAGCAUGUCCAUGUUAUGAUUUCAAACUCGUUGAUAUGUUUGGACGAGGCCUCGUGGGCCUCGGAUGCUAUUCAGACAAUACGCGGAACUCGUUUGGACUUGGAAAGAUGGCUGAAGCAGCAGAGCUUCUGGUGCAAUCGCACCUGCUAGGAGCUAGUCGUAGGUGCGAACUCACAGGUGCGAGCGUGUGGCCACAGAAGCAGUUUGGAGUGAGUUGGCUGUGCCCCGUAGAAGCAGAGAGAUUUUUGUAGAAGCGGCCUUGAUUCUGUGAGGCAAGGGCCGCAGGUGCGAAGAGGGCCAGCCAAGCCUGGGUCGCAGAUGCGAGAGGUGAGCCGUAGAAGUGGACUCGCAGGUGCGGUGUCCUUUCCGCAGGUGCGCCUACUGCUGGCUUGGAGCAUUCUGCAGAAGCGAACCUUCAUCCACAGAAGCGGUGCCGCAGAUGCAGCCAAUUCUCCACAGAAGCGGAAAUCGCUGGGAGGCAGUGAGGUUCAUUUAUUACGGGACUUAGGCCAUUUUGGUUCAUUUAUUACACUUCUUGGGCGAUAUUUGGAGCUUCUUAGAGAGGUAUUUUCACCUAGCUAUUGAAGGUAUGUAAUUUCCAUCCAAUGUAAGUAAAAUACAAAGAUUAUGGGUAGAUUUUAGCAUGAAAAAUUAUGGGUUUAGUUGAAAAACCUAGAUUUUGAUAAAAAUGGGAUUUAAGCACAAAAAUGGUUAAGGAAUUGGGUGAAAACGGUAUAUUUGAGUUUGUGAGGUUAUGGGUAGCAAUUAUCUUCGAAACGUUUCGGAAUUCGGGCAUGUGGGCCCGGGGGUAAAUUUUAGGAAUCUUUCAAUUUGGGUUGGGUAAUUACUCUUAUAGUUAAAUUAUGAACUUUUGAACAUGUAUUGAUUAAUUUAUAUAACAUUUGACUAGUUUCGGGUUGUUUGGCACCGAGUUGUGGAUUUAAAGCAUAUUUGUGGAUCGGAAGUGAGCUUGAGAACGAGGUAAGUCUCUUGCCUAACCUUGUAAGAGGGAACUCAUCCCCUUAGGUGUAUUCUUGUUGCGAAUUACUUAUGCGCAGAGCUACGUACGCACUAGGUGACGAGAGUCCGUGCAUAGCUAUAUUCCAUGAGAUGUCCGAGUAGUCUUAGACUUACAUCAUGCCUCGAUUGUACUGUUAUGUUUAUUAUGUAUAUUAAUGGUAUUAAAUAAAGUUGAGAUUAGGGAUUUGUAAGGUUGAAACUUUCAAAUAUAGAUUUCUUAUUUUUGGGAAGAAUUGAGGAAUAUAUAAUAACUCUAAGAAAUCCAUGUCCACUUGCGUCGCAAGUACUUCCGUGAGCAUGGUAAAAUUCUCUACUCUCAUGGGAGCUAGCCAUUUGCCUCGGCAGGUUAAUAGAUGCAUCUAUGGUUUGUGUCGUUCGACGCUCGGCAGUGCACACAGUAUAUUUUGGAUCGGACCGUACGACCUCGACAUAAAUUGCACGAUAAUACUCGGAACCUGAUUUCACUUCAUAUUAUUUCAUGGCUUAUGAGGUUAUAAUUUACUUAAUGACAGAAAUUGAAUUGGGAUUAAUAGGUAUUGUCUAGAGAAAGUUUUGGAAUUUAUCAUUAGUUAAGGAGCCAUUUAUUAUUGUUAUUGUUAUUGUUAUUGUUAUUGUUAUUGUUCUUAUUGUUGUUGUUGUUGUUGUUGUUGUUGUUGUUAUUGUUAUUGUUGUUGUUGUUGUUGUUGUUGUUGUUGUUGUUGUUGUUGUUGUUGUUGUUGUUGUUGUUGUUGUUGUUGUUGUUGUUGUUGUUGUUGUUGUUGUUGUUGUUGUUGUUGUUGUUGUUGUUAUUGUUAUUGUUGUUGUUGUUGUUGUUGUUGUUGUUGUUGUUGUUGUUGUUGUUGUUGUUGUUGUUGUUGUUGUUGUUGUUGUUGUUGUUGUUGUUGUUGUUGUUGUUGUUGUUGUUGUUGUUGUUGUUGUUGUUGUUUCUUAUUGUUCCAUACCUGUUUAUAAUUCAUGUAUUUUAUUAUUGGCCCAUAGUAAGUGUUGAAGUCGACCCCUCAUCACUACUUCUUCGAGGUUAGACUGGAUACUUACUGGGUACAUAUUGUUUAUGUACUCACGCUAUACUUAUGCAGUAAUGGUGCAGGUUCUGAGGCAGGUGCAUCUGGUAGUUAUCCCAAUGCACACUCCCGAUACUUCGAGACUUAGUGGUGAGCUGCUUUUCGAGUCCGUUCUGCAGCACCCGGAGUCUCUCUUUUGCUUUUAUAUUCUGUCUACUCCAUUUUAGACAGUAGUUUAGUAUUUUGUAUAUUCUACUAGUAGCUCAUACACUUAUGACACCUGGUCUUGGGAUUAUGCUAGUAGAUAUUUGAUAAUAUUUGAGUAUUUAUUUCACCA